UGGGGAAUAUUGGACAAUGGGCGCAAGCCUGAUCCAGCCAUGCCGCGUGAGUGAAGAAGGCCCUAGGGUUGUAAAACUCUUUCAGCAGGGAAGAUGAUGACGGUACCUGCAGAAGAAGCCCCGGCCAACUCCGUGCCAGCAGCCGCGGUAAUACGGAGGGGGCAAGCGUUGUUCGGAAUUACUGGGCGUAAAGCGCGCGUAGGCGGUUAGCAUAGUCAGGCGUGAAAUCCCGGGGCUCAACCCCGGAACUGCGCUUGAUACUGGCUAACUAGAGGUCUGGAGAGGGUAGUGGAAUUCCCAGUGUAGAGGUGAAAUUCGUAGAUAUUGGGAAGAACACCAGCGGCGAAGGCGGCUACCUGGACAGAUACUGACGCUGAGGUGCGAAAGCGUGGGGAGCGAACAGG
rnacentral:rRNA from 1 species